rnacentral:rRNA from 1 species
UAGGGAAUCUUCGGCAAUGGACGAAAGUCUGACCGAGCAACGCCGCGUGAGUGAAGAAGGUUUUCGGAUCGUAAAACUCUGUUGUUAGAGAAGAACAAGGACGUUAGUAACUGAACGUCCCCUGACGGUAUCUAACCAGAAAGCCACGGCUAACUACGUGCCAGCAGCCGCGGUAAUACGUAGGUGGCAAGCGUUGUCCGGAUUUAUUGGGCGUAAAGCGAGCGCAGGCGGUUUCUUAAGUCUGAUGUGAAAGCCCCCGGCUCAACCGGGGAGGGUCAUUGGAAACGGGGGGACUUGAGUGCAGAAGAGGGGAGUGGAAUUCCAUGUGUGGCGGUGAAAUGCGUAGAUAUAUGGUGGAACGCCAGUGGCGAAGGCGGCUCUCUGGUCUGUAACAGACGAUGAGGCUCGAAAGCGUGGGGAGCAAACAGG